rnacentral:rRNA from 1 species
UAGGGAAUCUUCCACAAUGGGCGAAAGCCUGAUGGUGCAACGCCGCGUGUGUGAUGAAGGGUUUCGGCUCGUAAAACACUGUUGUAAGAGAAGAAUGACAUUGAGAGUAACUGUUCAAUGUGUGACGGUAUCUUACCAGAAAGGAACGGCUAAAUACGUGCCAA